ACCGGGCGUUCUAAACCCGCCCUCCUCGUUAAUUCCGCAGAUUCUUGAAUUUUGCCGAGACUGCGAGGAAAAAAAGGUUCCUAGAGGAAUUUUCUUACCGACUCUGCUGGAAACUCGGAAAGACUAAAAACAUGAACAAACCCUGAACCAAUUUUAAACGCUUACAAUGGCGCCGCUGCAGCGUGUGGACGUAACAAACAUGAAACCGGCAUAUUCGUGCUGAUCUUCUCAGAUUUUGAACCUCAGCGGACAGCAGCGCACUUGCGUGCGGACAAGACCUCCUUUAGAAAGGAGACGAGAAGAUGGCGAUGUCAGCGCUGGUUUUGCUGCUGGUUUUGUGCCUGGGGGUGUUUGGACUGGACCUGGUCUGGGCUCGAGACGGAUCGGAACUCAGUGCAGACAAAACUUUGGUGUGGGGGCCAGGCCUGGAGACGAACAUCGUCCUCCCUGCUCGGUUCUUCUACAUACAGGCAGCGGACAGCUUGGGGAAAAAUUUCACAACAUCGCCUGGUGACAAGGUCUUUCAAGUGAAGAUUGUGUCUCCAACGGAACACUUUACCAGGAUCUGGAUUCAAGUCCUGGAUCGUCGAGAUGGGUCUUUCCUGGUUCGCUACAGAAUGUACGCCACCUACGCCGACCUGCACAUCCACGUUCUGCUCAAGGACAGGCAUGUCGCAAAGUCACCGUAUAUCCUCAAAGGUCAUGUCUAUCACGAGGGUUGCAACUGUCCUCAGCUGAGUGGUUCUGAUUGGGAGGCGGACAUGCACUGUCCUCAGUCCUUUACCCAGGUUAACAGGGACCUGUCCCUUUACCCCUCUGUGGACCCGUAUCUCAAUGCACAAGAGAUCCCGAAGCGCUUUGGAGAGCGCCAAAGCCUCUGCCACUACACGAUCAAGAACAACAAGGUUUAUGUGAAAACGUACGGAGAGCAUGUUGGUUUUAGAAUCUUCAUGGAUGCUAUUCUGUUGUCGAUCACAAGGAAGGUGUGGCUCCCUGACUUGGAGUUCUUUGUGAACCUGGGUGACUGGCCACUGGAGAAGAGGAAACCCACAGAGAAGCUCCAUCCUAUCUUCUCCUGGUGUGGCUCCAACAACACCAGAGACAUCGUCAUGCCCACUUAUGACCUGACAGAGUCCGUUCUUGAGACCAUGGGGAGAGUGAGUUUGGACAUGAUGUCCGUCCAGGCCAACACGGGGCCGCCGUGGUCGGAGAAGAACGCCACAGCCUUCUGGAGGGGGCGGGACAGUCGUCAGGAGCGUCUGGAGCUGGUCAAGCUUUCCAGGGCACACCCCGACACGAUAGAUGCUGCGUUUACCAACUUCUUCUUCUUCAAACACGAUGAGAGCCUCUAUGGGCCGAUGGUCAAACACGUCUCCUUUUUUGACUUUUUUAAGUACAAGUACCAAAUAAACAUUGAUGGUACUGUAGCGGCGUACCGUCUGCCGUACCUGCUGGCUGGAGACAGUGUGGUCCUGAAGCAGGAUUCUGGAUACUAUGAGCAUUUCUACCACCAGCUGCGACCGUGGGAACAUUACAUCCCUGUUAAAGCAGACCUGGGAGAUCUGCUGGAAAAGAUCCGCUGGGCUCAAGACCACGAUGAAGAGGCAAAGAAAAUUGCACUUGCAGGACAGCGGUUUGCACGCAGCCACCUUAUGGGAGAUGGUGUCUUUUGCUACUACUACAAACUAUUUAAGGAAUAUGCUAAACUCCAGAUCACUGAGCCUAAUGUUCGGAAGGACAUGGUGCUUGUUGAGCAGCCCACUGAUGACCUGUUCCCAUGCUCCUGCCACCGGACUCCGCUGCUGAAGUCGCCGACGCCGGUUGCAGUUACACCUCCUGACCGCUAGAUGGCUCGCCUUCGUUGUCGAGCUUCAUUUUUAAUUAAGAAGCAGAUGCAAUCAAUGGCGACGUUUGAUGAGGAACAGGUGAAGGUCCCGUUUGGGACAAAAGUACUGGAUGCUGCUUUGUGUGUCCCAGCCUCAGUAAAAGAUGUCCAUACAGCUGUUGUACUCACACACGGAGCAGGGGGAGACAUGAACUACAAACAUCUGGUUUCUCUGGCACACACUUUAGCAUCAAAUGGUUUCAUCUGCCUUCGUUUUACGUGUAAAGGCUUAAAUCUGAGUUAUAGAGUUAAGGCGUAUUGUGCAGUGUGG